rnacentral:rRNA from 1 species
CCCUUAGACGUUCUGGGCCGCACGCGCGCUACACUGACCAGUGCAACAAGCAUCCGUCCUUGGCUGAUAGGCCUGGGUAAUCUUUGAACGUGAAUCGUGAUGGGGAUAGAUGAUUGCAAUUAUUCAUCUUCAACGAGGAAUUCCUAGUAAACGCAAGUCAUCAGCUUGCAUUGAUUACGUCCCUGCCCUUUGUACACACCGCCCGUCGCACCUACCGAUUGAAUGGUCCGGUGAAAUCUUCGGAUCUGAGAGAUGUCUGAUUAAUUUCGGACGCCUUUUGGAAAAGUUGCUUAAACCUUACCAUUUAGAGGAAGGUGAAGUCGUAACA